UACGGGAGGCAGCAGUGGGGAAUAUUGCACAAUGGGCGCAAGCCUGAUGCAGCCAUGCCGCGUGUAUGAAGAAGGCCUUCGGGUUGUAAAGUACUUUCAGCGGGGAGGAAGGCGAUGCGGUUAAUAACCGCGUCGAUUGACGUUACCCGCAGAAGAAGCACCGGCUAACUCCGUGCCAGCAGCCGCGGUAAUACGGAGGGUGCAAGCGUUAAUCGGAAUUACUGGGCGUAAAGCGCACGCAGGCGGUCUGUUAAGUCAGAUGUGAAAUCCCCGGGCUUAACCUGGGAACUGCAUUUUGAACUGGCAGGCUUGAGUCUUGUAGAGGGGGUAGAAUUCCAGGUGUAGCGGUGAAAUGCGUAGAGAUCUGGAGGAAUACCGGUGGCGAAGGCGGCCCCUGGGACAAAGCUGACGCUCAGGUGCGAAAGCGUGGGGAGCAAACGAGGAUUAGAUACC
rnacentral:rRNA from 1 species